GGGGUAGACGCGAAACUUUGUGAUCUACCCAUGACCAGGAUGAAGUGUCGGUAACACGACAUGGAGGUCCGAACCAGUUUGCGUUGAAAAGCAUUUGGAUGAGUUGUGGGUAGGGGUGAAAGGCUAAUCAAACUGAGAGAUAGCUCGUACUCCUCGAAAUGUUUUUAGGAACAGCCUCGGAGUUAAGUAAUGCAUAGGUAGAGCUACUAAUUGGGUAAGGGGGUGUCAAAGCCUACCGAACUCAGAUAAACUCCGAAUGAUGCAUUAUAUAUCCGGGAGUGAGGCCUUGGGUGCUAAGGUCCUAGGCCAAGAGGGAAAAAACCCAGACCAUCAGCUAAGGUCCCCAAAUCUGUAUUAAGUUGAGCUAACAAGGUUCUAUUGCACAGACAGCUAGGAUGUUUGCUUGGAAGCAGCAAUUCAUUUAAAGAGUGCGUAACAGCUCACUAGUCGAGCGAUAGAGCGUGGAUGAUAAACGGGCAUCAAAUACAGUACCGAAGCUAUGGACUCGAAAGAGUGGUAGAGGAGCAUUCUAAUUGCGCUGAAUGCGGAAUGUAAAUUCUGUUGGAGCGAUUAGAAAAGCAAAUGUAGGCAUAAGUAACGAUAAAGCAGGCGAAAAACC
rnacentral:rRNA from 1 species